CUACGGGUGGCAGCAGUGAGGAAUAUUGCACAAUGGGGGGAACCCUGAUGCAGCAACGCCGCGUGGAGGAUGACGCAUUUCGGUGUGUAAACUCCUUUUAUAUGUCAAGAAAAUGACGGUAGCAUAUGAAUAAGCACCGGCUAACUCCGUGCCAGCAGCCGCGGUAAUACGGAGGGUGCAAGCGUUACUCGGAAUCACUGGGCGUAAAGGACGCGUAGGCGGGUUGGAAAGUCAGGUGUGAAAUCCUACAGCUUAACUGUAGAACUGCACUUGAAACUUCUAAUCUAGAGUAUGGGAGGGGGAGAUGGAAUUAGUGGUGUAGGGGUAAAAUCCGCAGAUAUCACUAGGAAUGCCUAAAGCGAAGACGAUCUCCUGGAACAUUACUGACGCUAAGGCGUGAAAGCGUGGGGAGCAAACAGGAUUAGAUACCCGGGUAGUC
rnacentral:rRNA from 1 species